CCUUUGGAGAGCUAAAAUCACUAAAGUAGCUUAAGCGAAAUAGAGUUCAAUGAAGAAGGAA
rnacentral:ncRNA from 1 species